AUGGACUUCGCGGCAACCUAUGGGGGAGAUAGCGAACUUGACAGAGAAGCAGACCAGAAGGAACUGGUGCCCACUAGGCUUCCCCCUAUUAUCUCAGAAGAUGGGAAUUAUUCUGUGCACCAGAAUAGCCACACACGGUACCACGAAGCUGUAAAGAAGGUGUUGUUAAAGACAUUCCCCAAUCAGGUCUUCAGAGUCCCCUUGACUGAUGCUCAGAACUUCAGCUUCUGGCGGUCCCACGAUCCAGGAGUGCGCCCAGAGGAAACCAUGCCAUGGAUCCGAAGCCCCCGCCACUGCCUCAUCAAAAGCCCAAUGACCAGGUUCAUGGAUCACUCUGUUCUUAGUGACAGAAACUUCAGUCUGUAUUGAGCAUGAUGUGUUUGCAGAAGAGCAAGAUGGACUGUGGAAGCAGGGCAAAGAAAGAGAAAGUGGGAGAAGGUGUCCUGGUUCCACUGACUAAUGGGAGGAAGGGAUCACAAAAGCAGAGUAAACAGAUUGGACUAGGA